rnacentral:rRNA from 1 species
CACGUAGUUAGCCGCGGCUUUCUGGUAAGGUACCGUCAAGGUACAGGCAGUUACUCCUGUACGUGUUCUUCCCUUACAACAGAGCUUUACGAUCCGAAAACCUUCUUCACUCACGCGGCGUUGCUCCAUCAGACUUUCGUCCAUUGUGGAAGAUUCCCUACUGCUGCCUCCCGUAGGAGUCUGGGCCGUGUCUCAGUCCCAGUGUGGCCGAUCACCCUCUCAGGUCGGCUACGCAUCGUGGUCUUGGUAGGCCGUUACCCCACCAACUAACUAAUGCGCCGCGGGCCCAUCUCACAGUGACAGCCGAAACCGUCUUUCAACAUCUCUUCAUGCGAAGAAAUGGAUUAUUCGGUAUUAGCCCCGGUUUCCCGGAGUUAUCCCCAUCUGUAAGGUAGGUUGCCCACGUGUUACUCACCCGUCCGCCGCUAAUCUUUAGGAGCAAGCUCCCAAGAUUCGCUCGACUUGCAUGUAUUAGGCACGCCCGCAGCGUUCGUCCUUGACGCCAGGAUCAAACUCGU